rnacentral:rRNA from 1 species
AUCAACUUUCGAUGGUAGGAUAGAGGCCUACCAUGGUGGUAACGGGUAACGGGGUGUUAGGGCACGACACCGGAGAGGGAGCCUGAGAAACGGCUACCACAUCCAAGGAUGGCAGCAGGCGCGCAAAUUACCCAAUCCCGACACGGGGAGGUAGUGACAAUAAAUAACAAUACGGGGUUCUUUCGGAUUUCGUAAUUGGAAUGAGUACAAUUUAAAUCUCUUAACGAUCAACAAUUGGAGGGCAAGUCUGGUGCCAGCAGCCGCGGUAAUUCCAGCUCCAAUAGCGUAUAUUAAAGUUGUUGCAGUUAAAAAGCUCGUAGUUGAAUUUCGGGAUCAGUAGGUCGGUCAUGCCUCUGGUAUGUACUGGUCUCACUGGUUCCUCCUUCCUGAUGAACCGUAAUGCCAUUAAUUUGGUGUUGCGGGGAAACUGGACUGUUACUUUGAAAAAAUUAGAGUGUUUAAAGCAGGCUAACGCUUGAAUACAUUAGCAUGGAAUAAUGAAAUAGGACGUUCGAUCCUAUUUUGUUGGUUUCUAGGAUUGACGUAAUGAUUAAUAGGGAUAGUUGGGGGCAUUAGUAUUCAAUUGUCAGAGGUGAAAUUCUUGGAUUUAUUGAAGACUAACUACUGCGAAAGCAUUUGCCAAGGAUGUUUUCAUUAAUCAAGAACGAAAGUUAGGGGAUCGAAGACGAUCAGAUACCGUCGUAGUCUUAACCAUAAACUAUGCCGACUAGGGAUCGGAUGAUGUUAAUUUUAAUGACUCAUUCGGCGCCUUACGGGAAACCAAAGUGUUUGGGUUC